rnacentral:rRNA from 1 species
GACGAAGGAUGCAAGCGUUAUCCGGAUUCAUUGGGUUUAAAGGGAGCGUAGGCGGAUAGGUAAGUCAGUGGUGAAAUCCCAUCGCUUAACGAUGGAACUGCCAUUGAUACUGCUUAUCUAGAGUACAGUUGCCGUUGGCGAAAUAUGACAUGUAGUGGUGAAAUACUUAGAUAUGUCAUAGAACACCGAUUGCGAAGGCAGCUAACGAAGCUGUAACUGACGCUGAGGCUCGAAAGUGCGGGGAUCAAACAGG